ACUCCUACGGGAGGCAGCAGUAGGGAAUCUUCCACAAUGGGCGCAAGCCUGAUGGAGCAACACCGCGUGAGUGAAGAAGGGUUUCGGCUCGUAAAGCUCUGUUGUUAAAGAAGAACACGUAUGAGAGUAACUGUUCAUACGUUGACGGUAUCUAACCAGAAAGUCACGGCUAACUACGUGCCAGCAGCCGCGGUAAUACGUAGGUGGCAAGCGUUAUCCGGAUUUAUUGGGCGUAAAGAGAGUGCAGGCGGUUUUCUAAGUCUGAUGUGAAAGCCUUCGGCUUAACCGGAGAAGUGCAUCGGAAACUGGAUAACUUGAGUGCAGAAGAGGGUAGUGGAACUCCAUGUGUAGCGGUGGAAUGCGUAGAUAUAUGGAAGAACACCAGUGGCGAAGGCGGCUACCUGGUCUGCAACUGACGCUGAGACUCGAAAGCAUGGGUAGCGAACAGGAUUAGAUACCCUGGUAGGAUAGCGU
rnacentral:rRNA from 1 species